AUGGUUAGUUGGGCAUUGUGGCAGCCAAGUACUCAUGGCUGCUUAGAUACUACAAUGAUCCUACACAAGAGGACCACCUAGGUCAAUGAAGCACCAGAACCCACCACCGGUCUCCUGUGCGGGAGUUGGUCUCAGACAAUGCAUGUCCACGCAGCUUGGAGCUGCUGCCAGCGUCUUCCACCGGGGGAUCCGGCAUUGCUGUUCGACUGGUUGUGGCCCACCAUGCUUCGUGUGCGGUGGUAGGCUUGGCUGGCUCUGGGCUUCACUAAGCUUGUCAUUGUGUUGCUACUGCGGUUGCGGUGUUGUCUUGGCAUUGGCUACACCCCUCUCCGGUAAUAGUCAUAUGGAGCGGCUGUCGCUGGCAAAGGGUGCAGUGUCGCUGUCUUGAGGCUGGACGUGGUUGAGUGUGACCUGGAGAAUCAGGGCGAGUCAGGCAUUGUGGUGGGCUGGUGGCCAAGUGCUUACGUGCGCUUAAAUACUAUGCUGAGCUUACGGCAUCACCACCAAGGGAGUAGUCCCAAGCGUGGAGCGGCCGCAGAUGGGCCAAGGGCGGAAGUCUGAUAGGGCUUCAAGAGAUAGGGAAAACUGCGGUAAGAAAGACCCACUCAGUGAAUUGAUGGAUCGCACACUUGGAGACAGGGACAGAUUUCCGACCUAA